CAGCAGCCGCGGGAAUACGUAGGUGGCAAGCGUUGUCCGGAAUUAUUGGGCGUAAAGGGCUCGCAGGCGGUUUCUUAAGUCUGAUGUGAAAGCCCCCGGCUCAACCGGGGAGGGUCAUUGGAAACUGGGAAACUUGAGUGCAGAGGAGGAGAGUGGAAUUCCACGUGUAGCGGUGAAAUGCGUAGAGAUGUGGAGGAACACCAGUGGCGAAGGCGACUCUCUGGUCUGUAACUGACGCUGAGGAGCGAAAGCGUGGGGAGCGAACAGGAUUAGAUACCCCUGUAGUCCCUGUCUCUUAUAC
rnacentral:rRNA from 1 species